UUAAAUCAAAUUUGUAUGAAGUUGGGACGUUUGCCUACGAUUGCCGCUAGGGGCGCUGUUCCAACUCCAUACAAAUUUGAGUUA
rnacentral:pre_miRNA from 1 species